CGACGGUGGCCGCGACCACGACAGCGACCACGGCCACGACCACGGCGACGCCCACGCGCAGCUCGACGCGCUGCUUGCGCACCACUCGUGACGCGCUCCAUUUUAAUGUAAUCUUGGCGAAGCGAUUGGGGUCUGCAAUUAGGACUUCGCACGUAUUUUUAAUCGAAUAAAGAAGGGUAUUUUUUUUAAUGUGAUAAACCAUUUUGAUAUGUAAAUAUGAAUUGUUUUAUGUGGCAAAUAUUAAAAAAAAAACAGGUUGAUCAUUAGAAUAAUACCUACAUAAUAGAAAAAUAUUGAGUGAAAAGUAAUGUUCACAUUUAUGAGAGACUUAUUUCAUUAUAUAUUACUAUAUAAUAUAUGUAUAAAAUAUUA